UACGGGGGGAGCAAGCGUUGUUCGGAUUUACUGGGCGUAAAGGGCGCGUAGGCGGCGUAACAAGUCACUUGUGAAAUCUCCGGGCUUAACCCGGAGCGGCCAAGUGAUACUGUUGUGCUAGAGUGCGGAAGGGGCUACUGGAAUUCUCGGUGUAGCGGUGAAAUGCGUAGAUAUCAGGAGGAACACCGAUUGCGAAGGCAGCUCGCUGGGACGUUACUGACGCUGAGACGCGAAAGCGUGGGGAGCAAACAGG
rnacentral:rRNA from 1 species